CUGGGGUUUCAGUGGGAUGGCAAAAAGGUAACCACCUUUUUCACCCCUAACUCCCUGUUUAUCACUGAACCAAACCCAGUUGAUUAGCAAGUUUAGGAGCAAGUUUAUCUCCUUGUAGGAAGCCUCUCUGAGCCAAUAUGGCAAUUUCAUGAGGGUCAACAUAAUAUGUACAAAACAGGAUUCUUGUGAAAAUUCAAGGAAAUAACCAAUGCACAGCAUUUUUAAAACUCUGGUGUGCUCUACGAGGUGAGAGGCUGUUAUUAUGAUUCCCUCUCUCUUCCUGUCAUCACCCCACCCACCAUCCAGGCUGCUUGGCCCCACACGUCCUCCGGCCUUGGCCACUGCUACCAUCGCCCCUGCACUUCACUCCUGGGAGGACACUGGGCUUCUGUAUGUUUCUCUUGUGCCCAAUGCCAGGCCAACCCUGAAUGAGUGAGACAGGCACAAGGUGUGUCUACUCGGGGAGACAAGGCAGCAGAACCUCAGGGGUAGUAACGCUCCACAGAGAGACCCGUGAUCAGUGACAGACAGGAGACAGCAAACAGCCUUCAGACAUUCCUUUUCUCUCCUCUCCCACUCCGAGGUGUGAUGGGUCCAUGUGGCCCCAUCUGUAAGGCUGCAGGGUGUAUUUUCUCCCAUCCCCCCCAUCCAAGUACUAACCAGGUCAAACCCUGCUUAGCUUCCGAGAUCAGAUGAGAUCAGGCAUGUUCAGGGUGGUAUUGCUGUGGACAGGGUGUAUUUUCUUGUGAAGCUGUUCCCAGCUUGGUAAUACCCCUGCCUUCCCUGCCUCAGCUCUCCUUUUCCUUCCCUCUUGCAGCCUUGGUAUUGCCCCUCCCGGUUAAGCCUUAACACACAAACUUUGCCUCAAGGACUUUUUUUCCUAGAGAGUCUAGGUUAAGACAAUCACUUUGACCCAAAUUCCCAUUUCCUACCCACUCUGUGGAAAGCUCUGUCAUCUUCAUGAGCAUGAAGUCUUUGGACUCAAAGCACAGGACCCCGUCCCUUGGUGAGGCCUGCAGCCACAGAGAGGACUGAUGGAUGACAUUUGCAAGAAUGCCAUUCUGUGCAAAGCUACCAGACGGUUUGGCUAAAGAUGGAGGCAGGAGAAGAAAAAUUUCUCAGGUGAAGUUCUCUGGGUAAAAUGGUUUUCUCAGGCCCAGGUGUUGUGAGCAGGCACCCCAAAAUCUGGCCAUAAACUGGCCCCAAAACUGGCCAUAAAUAGAAUCUCUGCAGCACUAUGACAUGUUCCUGAUGGCCAUAAUGCCCACGCUGGAAGAUUGUGGGUUUAAGGGAAUGAGGGCAAGGAAUACCUGGCCUGCUCAGGGCGGAAAACCGCUUAAAGGCAUUCUUAAGCCACAAACAAUAGCAUGAGUGAUCUGUGUCUUAAGGACAUACUCCUGCUGCAGUUAAUUAGCCCAACUUAUUCCUUUAAUUUGGCCCAACCCUUCAUUUCCCAUAAGGGAUAUUUUUAGUUAAUUUAAUGUCUAUAGAAACAGUGCUAAUUACUGGCUUGCUGUUAAUAAAUACGUGGGUAAAUCUCUGUUUGGGGCUCUCAGCUCUGAAGGCUGUGAGACCCCUGAUUUCCCACUUCACACCUCUAUAUUUCUGUGUGUGUGUGUCUUUAAUUCCUCUAGUGCUGCUGGGUUAGGGUCUCCCCAACUGAGCUGGUCUCAGCAAGUGGCGUCCAUUCGUGGGAGCUUGAAUCCAGGUCGAAGGGUCACCGGAGCAAUGGUUGGAAUGGAAAACUAGCUGGAGGACACCCGAGUACUCUAAAAGCAAUCCCCAUGAUGCCAAGGAAGAGAUUCGGGAGGAUCCUGAGGACCCCCCGGUUGCAGCCAUGUUGAGACUGAUGCUGAGGAGGACCCCAACUGUCACGAGCAACACCCGUCGACCACAGCCACCCACCUGGGGACAGAUCAAGAAGCUGUCACAGAUGGCGGAGGAAAGCGGAACAACCAGUCACAAUGAAUAAUUUAAUGGUAGCUAUGAUAGUGGUUAUCACCACUGCCGUGAGUAUUCCUACAAUAAGGGCUGGUAAUAACGCCUGGAUGCAAUCACUCUAUGACACAGUUACAUAUGCUUUCUGAUCUCAGUAUUUACCAUAAUAAAUCUGCUCCUAUAAUUGAGGCAUACCACCCUUAAAAACCUAUUUGUAAACAGGAUUGGACCCAGUUAGAAAAAAUGAACACAAUUGUUUAGGAAGAUUGCCUUGCAGAACAGGCAGAGAUGCUGCACAACGAUUCCUAUGGAAUCAUUAUUAAUUGGUCCCCUAAGGGGAUGUUUAGCUUGAAUUGCACCUCUCAGUCUGCGUGCCACAGUCACACUAUGUUUAGAUGAUCUGAACAAAACAGUCAGAUGGUAGAAAUGUUAAGAAGUACGGCAAAAGUUCCUAUUAUGUGGAACCAUGGCGGUAUAGUGGCACCUCAACCUCAAAUGAUAUGGCCUGCUCUAGGAGCUAAACAUAAGGAUUUGCGGAAACUAUUAAAUGCUCUUAAUAAGAUCAAAAUUUGGGAAAGAAUAAAAAAGCAUCUAGAAGGACACUCUACAAAAUUGUUUUUGGAUAUAGCAAAAUUAAAAGAACAAAUAUUUAAAGCAUCCCAGGCACACCUGACCUUAAUGCCAGGAACUGAAGUGCUUAAAGGAGCUGCAGACAAAUUAGCAGCUAGUAACCCAUUAAAAUGGAUAAAAACACUUGGAAGCUCUGUGAUUUCAAUGAUGACUGUGCUUUUAAUCUAUGUUGUUUGUCUUUGUAUAGUCUGCAGAUAUGGAUCCUGACUCCUGCAAGAAAUAGCUCACCGUGACAAAGCUGCCCUUGCUUUUAUCGAUUUGCAAAUCAAAGAAGGGGGACAUGUUGGGAGCAGGCCCCCCCCCCCAAAAUCUGGCCAUAAUCUCUGCAGCACUAUGACAUGUUCAUGACGGCCAUAAUGCCCACACUGGAAGAUUGUGGGUUUAUGGGAAUGAGGGCAAGGAACACCUGGCCCACCCAGGGCGGAAAACUGCUUAAAGGCAUUCUUAAGCCACAAACAAUAGCAUGAACGAUCUGUGCCUUAAGGACAUACUCCUGCUGCAGUUAACUAGCCCAACCUAUUCCUUUAAUUCAGCCCAUCCCUUCUUUUCCCAUAAGGGAUACUUCUAGUUAAUUUAAUAUCUAUAGAAACAAUGCUAAUGACUGGCUUGCUGUUAAUAAAUACGUGGGUAAAUCUCUGUUUGGGGCUCUCAGCUCUGAAGGCUGUGAGACCCCUGAUUUCCCACUUCACACCUCUAUAUUUCUGUGUGUGUCUUUAAUUCCUCU
rnacentral:lncRNA from 1 species